UCCGUGGGAGCCAACUAGAGCACACGGCUCAUAAUCGUGGUGUCGCGGGUUCGAGUCCCGCCCUCGCUA
rnacentral:tRNA from 1 species